AGAAUCAACGCUGGCGGCGUGCCUAACACAUGCAAGUCGAACGCGAAAGCCCCGCAAGGGGUGAGUAGAGUGGCAAACGGGUGAGUAACACGUGGGUGACCUGCCUCAGAGUGGGGGAUAACGACCCGAAAGGGUCGCUAAUACCGCAUAACAUCCUGCGCUUGGAUGCGUGGAGAUCAAAGCCGGGGAUUCGCAAGAACCUGGCGCUUGGAGAGGGGCCCGCGGCCGAUUAGCUAGUUGGUGAGGUAACGGCUCACCAAGGCGACGAUCGGUA
rnacentral:rRNA from 1 species